CCCUAAAUAGAGGCUCCUCUCCCGGGGAUGCUGAACAGUCUCCAGGGCUUCUUGGUGGUGGGGGGCACUCCUGAAUCUUGGGGACAGGGCUCUGUGGGGCCAGUUGGCUCCAUGAGCAGGAGGAAGAGGGGACCCAGCAGGCCUGCGGCCGCCCGCCUCUCUGCCGGAGCUUGAGCCUGUCCAGGCCCCGCGGCCCAGGCCUUAUUUGCUGCACUUCAUCCUGGAAAACCUCUCUAAUGAACAGGCCAGCUAAGAACUGAUGCAUUGGCCUAAUGAAGUGGGAAAGGAAGAGUUGGGAAAAUGAGAGCCCACAGCCAGGACAGCCCAGCCACCCUCCCCAUAAGGAAACCCUCAAACCAACAUGGCAACAGCAGGCAUCUGCACUGGACCUAAAGAUGCUUCCUGACCCUGUCGUGGCAGGAGGGAGAGGAGGGGAAUGGAGCAAUAGAGCACACCUACCCCCACUCCUUGGAAUAUUACGCAGCCGACAAUCAUGUGAGAACAAGCUCCAUGUGAGAUCAGUGGGCAGUCUUCAAGAUGUUUUGGAGAGAAAGGAGCCUGACAGAGCGAAUGGCACGUGCUGAUUUGGAGGGAACAGAUAGAAGCUCACGAUGUAGUGUGAGCUGAAGCUGAAGGCCCUGGAUGCCUGGAGGGAAGAGAACCAGGUAGGAGAUGGGCUGGGAGGGACUUUCCCAUCCCACAACCCUCCCCUAAUGCGCAGUCAAUACAUUAGUGAAAACUGU
ensembl:lncRNA